ensembl:misc_RNA Metazoa_SRP Metazoan signal recognition particle RNA
GCCGGGCAUGGUGACUCAUGCCUGUAAUCCCAGCAUUCUGGGAGGCUGAGGUGGGUGGAUCGCUUGAGCUUAGGAAUUCCAAACCAGCCUGAGCCACAUGGCGAAACCCCAUCUCUA